CCUCCUUUCUUCCUCCGUGGGGAAUAUUGGACAAUGGGGGCAACCCUGAUCCAGCCAUGCCGCGUGUGUGAAGAAGGCCCUCGGGUUGUAAAGCACUUUCAGUGAGGAAGAACGCCUGGUGGUUAAUACCCAUCAGGAAAGACAUCACUCACAGAAGAAGCACCGGCUAACUCCGUGCCAGCAGCCGCGGUAAUACGGAGGGUGCGAGCGUUAAUCGGAAUUACUGGGCGUAAAGCGCGCGUAGGUGGCUUGAUAAGCCGGUUGUGAAAGCCCCGGGCUCAACCUGGGAACGGCAUCCGGAACUGUCAAGCUAGAGUGCAGGAGAGGAAGGUAGAAUUCCCGGUGUAGCGGUGAAAUGCGUAGAGAUCGGGAGGAAUACCAGUGGCGAAGGCGGCCUUCUGGACUGACACUGACACUGAGGUGCGAAAGCGUGGGUAGCAAACAGGAUUAGAUACCCGAGUAGUC
rnacentral:rRNA from 1 species